CGUGUGCUUACAAGUAGUCAGAGCCCGUUAAUGGGUGAUGGCGUGCCUUUUGUAGAAUGAACCGGCGAGUUACGAUUUGAUGCAAGGUUAAGCAGUAAAUGUGGAGCCGUAGCGAAAGCGAGUCUGAAUAGGGCGUUUAGUAUUUGGUCGUAGACCCGAAACCAGGUGAUCUACCCUUGGUCAGGUUGAAGUUCAGGUAACACUGAAUGGAGGACCGAACCGACUUACGUUGAAAAGUGAGCGGAUGAACUGAGGGUAGCGGAGAAAUUCCAAUCGAACCUGGAGAUAGCUGGUUCUCUCCGAAAUAGCUUUAGGGCUAGCCUCAAGUGAUGAUUAUUGGAGGUAGAGCACUGUUUGGACGAGGGGCCCCUCUCGGGUUACCGAAUUCAGACAAACUCCGAAUGCCAAUUAAUUUAACUUGGGAGUCAGAACAUGGGUGAUAAGGUCCGUGUUCGAAAGGGAAACAGCCCAGACCACCAGCUAAGGUCCCAAAAUAUAUGUUAAGUGGAAAAGGAUGUGGCGUUGCCCAGACAACUAGGAUGUUGGCUUAGAAGCAGCCAUCAUUUAAAGAGUGCGUAAUAGCUCACUAGUCGAGUGACACUGCGCCGAAAAUGUACCGGGGCUAAACAUAUUACCGAAGCUGUGGAUUGUCCUUUGGACAAUGGUAGGAGAGCGUUCUAAGGGCGUUGAAGCAUGAUCGUAAGGACAUGUGGAGCGCUUAGAAGUGAGAAUGCCGGUGUGAGUAGCGAAAGACGGGUGAGAAUCCCGUCCACCGAUUGACUAAGGUUUCCAGAGGAAGGCUCGUCCGCUCUGGGUUAGUCGGGUCCUAAGCUGAGGCCGACAGGCGUAGGCGAUGGAUAACAGGUUGAUAUUCCUGUACCACCUAUAAUCGUUUUAAUCGAUGGGGGGACGCAGUAGGAUAGGCGAAGCGUGCGA
rnacentral:rRNA from 1 species